rnacentral:rRNA from 1 species
AUACGGGGGGAGCAAGCGUUGUCCGGAAUCAUUGGGCGUAAAGGGCGUGUAGGUGGUUUCGUAAGUCGAAUGUGAAAUCUCACGGCUCAACCGUGAAAUUGCGUUCGAAACUACGAGACUUGAGUUAGGGAGAGGUGUACGGAAUUCCUGGUGUAGCGGUGGAAUGCGUAGAUAUCAGGAAGAACACCAAUGGCGAAGGCAGCACACUGGCCUGUAACUGACACUGAGGCGCGAAAGCGUGGGGAGCAAACAGGAUUAGAUACCCUGGUAGUCCACGCUGUAAACGAUGGGUACUAGGUUUUGGGGGUCUCAACCCCUUCAGAGCCGUAGCUAACGCGUUAAGUACCCCGCCUGGGGAGUACGAUCGCAAGGUUGAA